CUUAUAGAACAUUUGGACCAGAUUACACAGACAUGGUAUCACCUGCAUUUGUCAGAACUCUCAAAGACUCAAAAUAUUUAUACUACUCCAUGUUAAAGGCAUGGCAAAAUUUUGACCGGUCAAUUUGAGUUCCCAAAAGUCAUAUCAACACAGGUAAAAACCUUUGUCCAUGGUUUUCUGAUCCUACAUUUCAUGACCAAAAUUUCAAACCCACUUCUGCACAGUUUGGGUCACAAGCAAUAAAAUCUCAGCA